rnacentral:lncRNA from 1 species
UUCGUCAAAACUAGGGAAUCAAGUCUUUGUCGGUUUCUUGGUUCUAAAAUAAAUCGUUUCAGUUAACUUUAUUGGUUAAAGGUUUUAUCUCAAACUCUCGCUCUGUUGAAUAAACCAUGAUUUUAUAUUAAUGUAGCUGUCACUUAUAAUUAAGUCAAAAACCAUAUUUUGAAAGCAAUAAAGUUGCAGAAACUCUUUUUAAGAAAACACUGACCGUUUUAAACACCCUUAUCUCAAACUCUC